rnacentral:rRNA from 1 species
CGGGCGGUUCGCCGCCCGCGACUCGGCGAGAAGUCCAUUGAACCUUAUCAUUUAGAGGAAGGAGAAGUCGUAACAUGGUUUCCGUAGGUGAACCUGCGGAAGGAUCAUUG